GCAAACUACUACUGAGUUAAGCCAUAUUUAUCAUAAGCUCUUAAUUAAGUUGUUUAUCCAAAAAAUAGAGGUAGAGUGGUACCUUAGAAAUGGCGUGGCGUAAAUCAUCAUGGUUAAUGGGUCGUUGAGAAAUGACCCAAUCACCAGAAGGGAAUCUAGCAAGAGGCUUUCUACCUAAAUCCAUAACAACUUCAAUGAGUCCACCAAUCUCUUGGUGACGAUACAAUUCCAUCCUCAUCUCCAAAGGAAGAAGUUCCAGAAACAUAUCAAGCUCUGCGGUGGUUUCGGGUUGCAAAUUCGACGGUGAGGAUCCAUUUCUGAUUGGGUAACGAUCGGAGGGUCGUCGGAUUUGAGGAGAAGCUGAAGAAGAUGAUUUGGAAGAUUGAAUCGCUUUAUUGAGUCUUCUUGAUGAAGAUGAUGAACGAUGAAAUGAAGAAAACAGUUGUUUAUUGUUAAGGUUGUUGUUCCUUUGCCAUGAGGUGCAGUGAAGAUCAAUUAAGACAACAUGCGAAUUUAUUGCUCUCAUUCUCUAUCUCCUCUUCCUAUGUGUUAACGUUUUGUUAUGUUUCUCUGUAUGUUUGAUCUAGUUAUAGUAAUAUAAAAAAAAAAAUAUAUAUAUAUAUAUAUAAUAAAUGAUAAAUGAUG
rnacentral:lncRNA from 1 species